rnacentral:rRNA from 1 species
ACCCAGACUCCUACGGGAGGCAGCAGUGGGGGAUAUUGCACAAUGGGGGGAACCCUGAUGCAGCGACGCCGCGUGGGUGAAGGAGCGUUUCGGCGCGUAAAGCCCUAUCGGCAGGGAAGAAGGAGGACGGUACCUGACUAAGAAGCCCCGGCUAACUACGUGCCAGCAGCCGCGGGAAUACGUAGGGGGCAAGCGUUAUCCGGAUUUACUGGGUGUAAAGGGGGCGCAGACGGCAGCGCAAGCCAGGAGUGAAAGCCCGGGGCCCAACCCCGGGACUGCUCUUGGAACUGCGCGGCUGGAGUGCAGGAGGGGCAGGCGGAAUUCCUGGUGUAGCGGUGAAAUGCGUAGAUAUCAGGCAGAACUCCGAUUGCGAAGGCAGCAUACCGGCGCCCGACUGACGCUGAGGCACGAAAGCGUGGGGAUCGAACAGGAUUAGAUACCCUAGUA